rnacentral:lncRNA from 1 species
AGGUUUGGUUUGAAUUUCAAAUCUCUUUUACUUUAUCUCUAACGGCUAUAUUUGCUUUUUGGGCUAUAAAAGGGACCUCUUAAGUGCUUCUCAAUAACUUUUUACCAACCUAAAGCUAGAUCAUUUAAGAGAGAAGCAAGAGAGAGAAGUUCAAGGGAGUGAGUGCAUUCAAGUGAAGAAAUCAAGUGCUUUCAAGCUUCCCAAGUGAUUUCAAGCUCAACCACUCUCUUCCGCUCGGGAUUCAAAGCUCAUACUCAAGCCUACGCGAUCCACAUCGGAAGAAUCAUCAUUUCCCACGCUUCCAA